rnacentral:tRNA from 1 species
GCCCUUAUAGCACAGUGGUAGUGCGUCGCACUUGUAAUGCGAAGGUCGGUUGUUCAAUCCAGCCUGAGGGCA